CAGAUGCUAAUACCGCAUAAAACCUAACACCGCAUGGUGUAGGGUUGAAAGAUGGUUUCGGCUAUCACUUUAGGAUGGACCCGCGGUGCAUUAGUUAGUUAGGUGAGGUAAAAGGCUCACCAAGACCGUGAUGCAUAGCGACCUGAGAGGGUAAUCGGCCACACUGGGACUGAGACACGGCCCAGACUCCUUACGGGAGGCAGCAGUAGGGAAUCUUCCACAAUGGACGAAAGUCUGAUGGAGCAACGCCGCGUGAGUGAAGAAGGUUUUCGGAUCGUAAAACUCUGUUGUUGGAGAAGAAUGUAUCUGAUAGUAACUGAUCAGGUAGUGACGGUAUCCAACCAGAAAGCCACGGCUAACUACGUG
rnacentral:rRNA from 1 species